GGUUCCUAACCCUGGCUAACCCAUACCAUUUCACCCGCCCGAGUACUACAAGCGCUAGCUUUAAACCCAAAGGACUUGACGGUGCCUCAAACCCCCCUAGAGGAGCCUGUUCUAUAACCGAUAAUCCUCGUUAAACCUCACCACUCCUUGCCAUUACACCGCCUAUAUACCGCCGUCGUCAGCUCACCCCAUGAGGGGAUAAAAGUAAGCAAAAUGAAUUUAAACCUCCAACACGUCAGGUCGAGGUGUAGCGAAUGAAGUGGAAAGAAAUGGGCUACAUUUCCUUUUAAGAAAAUAAACGAACAGCACAAUGAAAAAUUGCUUAAAGGUGGAUUUAGCAGUAAGAAAACCUUAGAAUACUAUUCUGAAACUGGCUCUGAGGUGCGCACACACCGCCCAAACAACACUACAAG
rnacentral:rRNA from 1 species